AGUGUCCCUCCGCAGCUUCUGCUCCUUUCCUGCCUCCAGGUGUCCACCCUACUGAGGCAGAAAUUGGUACUAGGAGUGGAGGCAUUGUGACAAACCUGAACGUGUGUUUUAGGGAGGAUCAUGGUCUCAUUUGAACUUUGGGUUCUCUGAGCUCUGCGGUCUGUCCUCUAGGAUCUCGGAAGAGAAGCCUGUGGAGAGCAUUGCAGAUGACAAAGGCCUGGCUUGUGAAGUUCAGAGGGGAAUGAAGAUCUAGCGUUGCUUGUAUGUGAUGUUUUGAAUUCAGAUAUGUGGUUCCAGUCAGCCAGAAGAGGUGGCUGUGGUUAACACCAGAUCAGAAUGACUAAGAAGGGCCAGAGUGCCCAGAAGUGAUCCACACUCCAACCAGCACACUGCGUACAUGACAUCUCUUUCCUGAACCUGGGUACGGUGGCCAGACUAUUGUGGUUGGCACCCGCACGUCUGUUGAAGCUACUUGCAGAGUUUUUAGUACCUCUGGACACAAUGAGGGAACGUUGGUAGACCCCAGAGAACUUUUUGGGACCUACCAUAUAGUGCUGGAAACACAGAGUAACCAUGGUAACCAGGUGGCCCCCUGGCUUCAGCAGGUCAGCCAGUCUGCGCAGGGCUGCCCGGUAGGUUUCCACAUCAAGACAG